AUGGAUGGUGUCGUGGCUCACAGCCUCAACCAAUGGCGGGCCUGCCUGAAGGACGCCUCCCAGCUCAACCUGCUGCUCUGCAAGCCCCUCCCUGAACCCCACUACGCCUGGUUGUACCAGGGCAGGCUGGUGCACCGGCGGCAGAAGCAGCUCCAGGAGAGGGAGCCAGAGGACAUCGUACAGGACGACCAGUUCAGGAGACUGUACAGGAGGCUCCUGGGAGCAGUGACCCAGCCAGACCCCGGGGCCAAUAGGAGAACUGGGGGGCCUGAGGCCCAGCUGAGGGCCAGCAUGGACCACCUUCACCUCAACACCCAGGAUGAGGAGGAGGAGGAGGAGCUGGGCUGGGCUGCAGGCCUGGAUCAGGGCUCUGAUAGGCCUAGGGUGACGGUUAGAACACGCUACAGAACCAAAGACAGGAAGGACCGGUCCAGAAACCCAGAGCUGUGGAGGAAGCAGGAGAGGGAGGGGUGGUUGUGAGCAGGAAGGGGCGGUGUUCCAGGGGUGGGGGCAAUAGGGCAGCUGUUAGAUCAGUGUGUCGCCUCGCUGUGCACUUUGAAUCUUGGUGUGUUGGCGUGUCCUGAGCUAUGCUUCUCGACAUUUCACUUUCAUUUCACGAUGUCGGGACAUUCCUGGCGGGCGUCAUUGUUGUAAAACUUGUCAAAUGCGUGAGGAACUCCAGCCUACUCUGAAAACGUCAGCGUAUGAAUAUAUUCUAUAAAGCUUCUUAAGAACAAUGUGUGACUCUGUGGGGAAGACCUUUGACUACUUAAUGAUAUAUCUUGCCAAAAUACAUUUCAACAUAAUAUGAAAUGUUUUUUCUAAGAUGUAAUUUAAUAAAAUUACUAUUUUAUUUUUUAAAUUACAAUCUGAUUUGUAAAGUGUGUGUGUGUGGGGGAGGGGUUGGGGGGGUCUCUGAGUUAAGGAGUGUCCAGGGGCCCCUGAAGGGGUCCGGCCGUACCAUGAAGAAGUCUGACCGACGGGAAUCAUUCCCUAAUAUAGGCCCACUGUAUAGGGCUACUGAUACUGUGCAGUACAGUACAGUAGGCUACACGCUUUCUGCUGCAUCCCCCAACACGGUCUCACGUGAGUGAGACCGUGUUGGGGGUUGCCGGGGUAACCGGGGUUUGUUUUGGGUGGGAUUUCUGCCGUUGGUUACGGGUCAGUGACCUGGUUUUGGUCCAUUAAAAGUUUCUUCAAUUACUAAUGACUCGACAUCGCUAUGUCACCGGCGAGGUCAUUAAAAUAUGUUCAAUAAAACGUAAUCACGGACAAAAUACGUUUUUUAGACAAACGUAAUUGAGAAUGCCGAAUAGUUCUCUGGGAACGUAAUUUUGAUGAGAAAGGGUUGCUCAGUUGUUAGUUAGCCCAAUGACUUCUCAAUGCAAAUCAAACCAGCUAAUCGGCUAACCGAAAUAAAACCAUGACAAUCUGUAGGUAUAGUGAAAGGUAUUUGAUGAAGUGGGGCUAUUUUAAUUCCAAAGGCUGAGGGGACUUAGUCAGGAUGCAUAGUAUCCAUGAAAUAACUGGCUUUUAAAAAAUAAAAUCUACCUGCCUCUACAGCCUACCACUGUGUGUGUGUGUGUGUGUGUGUGUGUGUGUGUGUGUGUGUGUGUGUGUGUGUGUGUGUGUGUGUGUGUGUGUGUGUGUGUGUGUGUGUGUGUGUGUGUGUGUGUGUGUGUGUGUGUGUGUGUGUGUGUGUGUGUAUAUAUAUAUAUAUAUAUAUAUAUAUAUAUAUAUACACACACAUUGUUUUUACAAUGCACUUAUUCAAUGUAAUUCAUGAUAUAAUCAAUAAAAUCAGAACCUGUCAGCAGCUUGUCCGCUCUUUCCUCCGUGUUGUCCUAAAGUCUCCACCACGGUUUCCUGAGCGGCAUGAGGAGGCUCCAAUCGCUCAGAGAAAGGAGUAUAGAUGUAGGCUACUCCGCCCCACUCCUCAUCGGUUUUUUGACCCCAUGUCAUCAGUUAACCGCCCUCCGCAGGCUCAAGAUGGAGGAGCAUCAAAAGGCCAUCACGUUUCUCCAGGACAUCCCGACGAUUGCUAUAAGUGAACUAGGCGAUUGCCUUGGGCGGCAAAUGUGUUGGCGGCGCCCUCUAGUGGCGCCCUCUAGUGGCGCCCUUAAUUCCCACUAAUCCUAGAACUCGAAAAAACAAGCGAAAUAAAACGAAUAAAAUUUGGUUUAUUAAACAUGGUCAUCCUAGGGCGCCCCCUCAGCCACAUGUUUAGUUGUCAACCAGAUUAUUCGAUUUAAUUGAUGAUUUUUGUAAAUCAAGCAAGACGUUACGUUACGUGGGGCAAGACGUCAAAUGCUCAGCUGCUGCAUUGAUCAACCUCGACGUACAUUGAUUCUCAAAAUAUAGGUCUAAAGUCUGAGUAUGCUUCAUAGUAUUUUUGUAUACAAUUCAUUAGAGCUGACCCUUCUGCUUAUUUUUAGUCUUUUUAUUUCCACAAUUAAUAGUUAAUUUAAUUUUAAAUAUUAUUGAGCAUCUUUCAUUUCGAGGUAGACCAUAUUUUAGCCAUAUUUAGCUUUUUAAAGAUUCCCCUCAUGGAGUUCAU
ensembl:lncRNA